rnacentral:lncRNA from 1 species
UUUAGCGGGAACCAAAAGUUUAAGAUCUCACACACAUAUUUGAAUUUGAAGUAGAAAAAUUCAAGAACGACCGACCACUUCAAUAACAGUAUGCUUAACAAACCCAAUAAACCUCAAACCUUAAAAUCAUCAUCUUCCUUUUAUCCUUAAACCCUAAUUCUACUCCUUAUCAAAGAACUCAAAAAAUCAAGAAUCAAUGGAAUUUCAAAAGAGAAAGUUAGCAACUUUAUCAUCAAUGAAUUCACCAGAACCAGACAAAUCACCUAAAGGCAACAUAGACACACCAAUAAUCCCAUUACUCAACACCAUCAACUCCCACUCUUCAUAUUUCACUACCAGUUCUUGUUCAGGCCGCAUCUCAAUUCUUGAACAACCCAAGAAAAAAUCCAAAGGGGGUAAAUGGGUGUUCAUAUCUCAUGAAAAAACUGAACCCCAAGUGAUCAAAUCACUCCUUUCCCCAUUGGAAUACACUCAUGAUAAUUGUAGUCUUGUGUUUAGAUUUGAGCCUUUGAUUAUUGCUGUGGAGUGUAAGGAUGUUGAGGCAGCUCAGUUUUUGGUGUCUUUAGCCAUUUUUUCAGGGUUUAGGGAGAGUGGUAUUACUAGUGUUAGUAAAAGAGUGAUUGUUGCUAUACGAUGUUCGAUACGAAUGGAAGUGCCAUUAGGUGAUAGUGAGAAGUUAAUGGUGGAUGAAAAGUAUGUGGAGUAUCUUGUUGAGUUAGCUAAUGAGAAAAUGGAGGCUAAUAGAAGAAGAACUGAGAAUUUUCUUGAUGUGUUGUUGAAAAAUGGUUUUUCGGGUUCAAAGAUUAGUAAUGGGGAGUUUUUGGAUAAUGGGAAAGUGGAUUGUGAAGCUGAAUUGUUGGAAAAUUCUUUGGUUAAUGGUGUUGAUGGAAACGGAAAUACUAAAAGGAGAGAUUUUGAUGAUUCUUGUUCGGGUACUUAUUCUCUAUCUCAGACUAAUUGAUAUAUCAGUAUAGUUUAUGGAUUUAAGCUUCUUGUUGUUAGGAUCAAUUUGAAUCGGGGGUCUAUCGGAAACAACCUCUCUACUUCUUCGGAGGUAGUGGUAUGGACUAUGGACUGCGUACAUUUUACCCUCCCCAGACCCCACGAGGUGGGAAUACACUGGGUACGUUGUUGUUGUUGGGCUCAAUAAGAUAUUCUUCAUGUAUAUUUAACGGAUAAGACAAUGUUGUUGUGAAUCUACUAUUUAUGUGUAGAUUUGAGCUGAAUCUUAUGGUGACCUGUAGGAGCCACCUUCUUCCAUCAAAAAACAUAGAUACUUCAUUUGCCUUAAUGUGCUCGUGUAGAACGGUGUGACUCCUAUGAUUAUUUAAUGUGGGGUUCUCCAAAAUAAACUAAAAUUAAGAAAAAAAAUUGCAUGCGCCCCUGCUAAACACUUGCACACACUCAUUGGAUGAUGGACCUAUAACCAUAAUCGAGUCCAUUGAAAAUAGUAUGAUUGUUUUUUGGUCUCUUCAUAAGAGUUUAUAUCUUCUUUUAUUUUGUACUCUAUGCAUCAUCAGGAUGCUUUUGGUAUUAAUACACCACUUACUUCAUCCAAAAAACUAAAGAGUGCAUCUGACAUAGGCCAUAUUUCAUUAUCUGAACCAUGGGAGUGUUGUAUGUGCAAGGUUUCAUGAUUUGGCUAGUUGUCUUAACUUGUAUGUCACUAUCAUUCUUCGACACAUAAAGGUUCGAGUAUAGAUGCUUUAUUAUUUGACUGUCGGUUCUCUAUAAGUUAAAAAAUGAAGGGAUAAGUAUAUGUAGAACCUGCUGUGUUGGUAAAAAAUUCAAUUCAACUUUAGAGGCUUGAUAUACUUCAAGAUACACAUUGUUGUUUAUGCUAAACUCAGCAUGUUGACUCCUAUAUUCUCCUUGUUUUAUUGCCCAUAGAAUUCGAAUUCGUUAUUAAUAUACCGGUGCAACUUUGGUUAGUUGCUUCAAAUGCAUAAGCGUGGUAGUACCCUGACUGCUAACGUGUGUUGGAUUGCAGGAUACAUUCCAUUGAAUGUGACAACAAGUCCUAAUAUUUAAUUCAUUGACAGGAUCAGAAGUAGCCCCUGAUGUCGACCUACCCACCGUUAGAUUGGUGAUUUCUGGUGAAUCAAUUGAGAGGCUAUUUCUCUGGGGUCACUCUGCUUCUUCAGUGGAUAACAAGAAGGUUCUCAUAUUUGGUGGCUUUGGAGGAAUUGGAAGGCAUGCACGAAGAAAUGAUUCAUUGCUUCUUGAUUUAGAAUCUGGAAGGUUGGAGGUGAUCGAUGUUUUGGAUGCCCCAUGUCCACAUCAUCCGUGAUUGGAAAGAAGGAUUGGAGGUUUCCAUUCCUCCCAAGGUGCUGAGUAUAUCAUACAUCACUGUAUGCCUUCGACACACAAAACUUUGAAUGGAGCGAAGUACAAGUUCAAGGGGAUUCGCCAUCAAUGGCCGCAUAUGGGACUCAAAUAUUUGUAUUUGGGGGAUAUGAUGGGCAUAAGGCUCUUGGGGACCUGUAUAGUUUUGACGUGAAAACAUGUAUAUGGAAGAAGGAAAAGAUGAUUGGAAGCAUAUUUCUAUCAGUUCUAUUGGUGAAGACCUGUUUGUUCGAAGUACAACAAAUAUUGUUGAUAAUGACCUAAUAAUGAUUGGUGGUGGGGCAGCCUGUUAUAAGAUUGUUUUGAACUGUCAAAUUUUCAUGCAUUUUCUACAUCAACCUCUAUAAAAUGAAUAUAAGAAUCAUAUUAAUGACACUAAAGACAUAUAAAAAGUAUGCUUAUGAAAUUGUUCUAAUUUGUGUUAUUAUAGACGUACCUUCAUAAACAUCUACAUUUUCAUCCAUAUCAUUAUUUUCUGCACUUGUAAUAAAGUAUCAUAAGUGGUGAAUUCAACAAAUUCACCUUUACUUAUUUAAACUAAAAUAAAAUCAAUUGAAAUUGAAUAUUUUUAUGUCUUAAAUUAUUUAUUAAGUAAAAAAGAUAUACCNNNNNNNNNNNNNNNNNNNNNNNNNNNNNNNNNNNNNNNNNNNNNNNNNNNNNNNNNNNNNNNNNNNNNNNNNNNNNNNNNNNNNNNNNNNNNNNNNNNNNNNNNNNNNNNNNNNNNNUAAAAGAUGAGUUCUCUCCAUUGUUGAAGAAGAUGCCACAUUUUGCAUAUCAAUAUCUUGUGUUAGAUUAUGAUAUUUUGAUUUAGCAUGAGAUGAUGAAGAAUGAUCAAUGAUCUUUAUGGAUGUAAUAUGAGAAGCAUAGGAACUUUGAUCAAGUGAUCUAAUUUGAUUUUGAAUACCCUUGACAAAAUGUCAGGCCGGUCUUCCGGUUGUAAGCCUCUACUCUUUAAGGGUCUGAUAAUUUCAGGCCACCUUGGAUUGCAAGUAAAUGUGAUAAACAAAUCCGGAUAUUCAACCCAUUUGCAGAUUGCCAUAGCAUCUUGAUAAUAUUGAAUCAUAUAUCGUGCACCCCCGGUGAAGCUGGAUGAUAGAAUUACCCUUUUACCAUGAGAAGAAGGAUCAAUCUCUCCCUGUAAAACUGCAUUUUCUAAUCCUUUGUAAAUUGCAACACACAAUUGUUUUUGAUGAGUUCUAAUAUAUUUCAACCUUGAUGAUUCAAUCAUUGUAAAAGCAUCUACCAAGAAUUGUUGAAAUAAUCUUUUUGAGUUCAUAAUUGUUGGUACUUCACCAUUUCUCUCUUGAAUUUUGUAAGAAAAGAACUCACGCAUGCUAAUGAAUUUUCUUCCUCGACUUGAUUCAUCCUUUUCAUUUAAAACAAUGUCCUCUCUAUAACCAUCUUCACCAUAUGGAAAAAGUAAUGGAUAUUGGAGUGCUAAAUAGAAAGCAUUUAACUCAUUUAUUCUUUGGAGCAAUCCAGAUUGGGUUUCAACAACAAUAUCUCUGUCACAUCGCGAUACUUCAAAAUCUCCAACCCCUAAAAAAGCGACUUCUGAAACAGUUGGCAAAUUGUAUCUUCUUCCAUCAUAGUUUCGCUUUCCCAUCAAUUUGAGUCUAACAUUGGUGUGAGAAUCUUCUUGAAAUCUAUCUCUUACCAUUCUAAAUGACUUAGUCAAGACAUUUUGAUCAUCAAGCAUUUGUUUCAAGUCUUGAACAAUUUCAAAAUGAUUUUUGUUAAUGCUAUCACCUCGAUUACAUAAGAUUGGUAAAUAAGAUUAUUUGACAUUAUUUAAUUAAUUAUACUAUUAAUAGGAUAAUAAAUAAAGAUUGAUUGAAUACUAACCUCAAUGCAUGAAUUUUAUUUUUCACUUUAUUUUCAGUAUCAUAUAUUGUAACACCCUGCAUUUCGGGCAACAAUAUAGACCAUGAUUUCGAUGUGUUGAUAAAUUCCGAAGUCAUACAUCCUAUGCCAAUACGGCAUGUUAAUUAUUUGUGUAGCAUGUGAAUCCAUUCAAGCUUGAAUUUAGACCAUAGGGGUCAUGUGACUCAAGGACGAGUUGAAAACUACUUCGAUCGAUUAAGCUUAAGUGGAUAUUAUAAUUUGUGUCAACUUGUAUCGACCAUGACUCUUUGUAUAUGUCGAAUUAGAAAUCCUACUAUGUGUAAAAUGAUAGGUUUCCGAGUUAUAUUUCCAACGAUACCAAUUUUGCUAAAAUCCAGCACCCGAGCAAGAAGUUAUGGCCUUUCAAAGUAAUGUGUCGCGUAACCAAUCGCACAUGGCCACUGGAAAGCAUAGGCGGCGCCUAUGUAAACAUAGGCGAUAUCCUAGGCGGCGCCUAUGUAAACAUAGGCGAUAUCCUAGGCGGCGCCUAUGUAAACAUAGGCGAUAUCCUAGGCGGCGCCUAUGUAAACAUAGGCGAUGGCAUAGGCGGCACCUAUGUAAAGGUUUCAAGUGACUUAAACACUCCGUUUUUAGGGCAAAAUGGUCCUUUUCCACCCUUACUUAGCCCUAAACACAAAAUUCAGUUCCAAAGACCCCAAAAUACAGCUUCAUUCAUCAAAAGUGCUCAAGGAUUCUCCUUAGGGUUUCAAAAUAAAAAAUCAAGCAACUCGAGAUUCAAUCGGGGGUUUUAGAAACUAAUUGCAUAUCUGGAAUCUCCAGAACGUAGGCUUCAAGAAGCAUCUAUAAUCUUCGCAUAUAGAGGUACGUGGGAUUAUCUCAAAAUGUUUUAUAAAUGGGGGUUUUGAAAUUACAAAUAUGAUAUGUUUUAAACGUUUUAUGAUGUUGAUUUGGUCUUUAGGCCUAAUUCCAAGGUGAUUUGAUAUAUUAUAUAUGGAUAUGCAUGUGUUUCAUAAUGAUGAUAAAUUGAGAGCAUGAUUUAAACGGAACCCCUAUCUUGAUAUGAUAUUGUUUUAAGUUUUCACAUGAUAUGAAUCAUUUGAAAUCAUCUUGAAAUGCAUGCCAUGAAAUGCCUUAAAAAUGUCAUGAUUUGGAUAUGGUUUUUGACUUUCAAAGAGAGGUUUUUUUUGUUCAUGUUGAAAUAUGUGCAUAUGAUGAUUGAAUGAAGAGAAUGAUAUGAUACUGAUGAAUUGCAAGUCGGGUAUGACGAUACCCUACAGAGUAUGACAUGUGAUUGAUUUGAACAAAGUUUGAGUGCAUUAAUUUUCAUGAAAAAGGUGGAUAUCCGAAGAAGGCGUUCGAGUGAAAGGGAUCAUCGCUGGAAAUCGUAGUUGCCGAUGCGGGUCAUAUGAUAUUGUAUCCUACAUGGAAGGAUAAUAAAAUAAUUUGGACAUCUCACAUGGGGGGAUUCCCUGCGGUGUACUCACAUGGGUGGUCUACCGACUCCAAAUCCUGGCGGCUACUUGGGUUGGAGGCUUGGCCGCCGAGCACUAGAGACGGAUUCCACAUAGCCGUGAAAUUACAAUUGUAGGGUAUUCCACCUAACUCAAUCGCAUUACAUUGGUAUUGAAAACUAUUACACUCUGCCCAUGUGUUUUCAAAUAAUUUGAUAUGAAACUACUUUAUAAUGGCUCUCACCUAUAUUGUGUAAAAAUAUUAUAUUUUUGUUUUGAUUCCUCUGCGUACCAGUACUUUUGUAUUGACCCCCUCUCCUCCCAGGUUCGGAGGCACAAUCUAGGGGUUCAGACAACCAGUAGAUUCCUUCCGACAGAUCGCAGAAUCAAGAGGUGAGCCUUCUAUAUUUCGGAAGGCCUGAUGUCUGCAGUUUAACUUAUCAUUUAUUAGUUUUGGGUCUACUGGGGGCCUUGUCCCAGUUUUCAGAUAGAUAAUUGUUUUAGUCAUGUAGUAGAGAUUUCACAGACGUUAUAAAGAUGUUGUGUUGAGAUUGUGGGACAUUAUUCCCCAUUAUUACUUUCAUAUGAUUCUUGACCAUGUUUCUGUUAUAUUGUGUACCUUCCGUAUUUCUUUUAUCAUAUUAAUUAUGUGCUUGAUUACCAGACAGCUAGGGGUGUUUCGGGCCUCAUGGUUUGGAAUACUCGUCACGGCUAGGGCUCCGGUUCGGGUCGUGACAAACUUUGUUUCAAAGCAUGAUUCAUGGUCCCAGGGUGUCUACGAAAUCGAAUCAGGUAGAGUCCUAUUUAUGGGUGUGUAGCGCACCACACUUAUAAGUAGGAGGCUGUUAGGUGUUUAGGAAAUAUUUCCCUUUUUUGUGAUUUAGUUCGUGCUUCAAAGUCUGAACUGUCCCCUAAUCAGUGAUCACUUGUAUUUCAGAAACACAGUUAUGCCUCCACGUCGUAUCAUCGAUCAGAAUGCUCAGGCAUAUGAGGCCCGUCCCACCCAUGGGAUGCAGACCCGUAAUAGAGCUCAUACUCCAGAACUUGUCCCUACUCCGCGAGUCUCUCCAGUCCCGACCAGCCCACCUCGGGCUCCGCAGACUAAUGUCAACCGUCCCCCAACUACUCAGGGAGAUAUUUCAAAUGCAGAAUUUAGACGGUCUAUUCAUAUGCUGACAUAGUUGGUAGCUAACCAGGCUCAACGAUCAGAAGAUGUUGGGGCUACAUCUGUUACAUCUGAGGCUACUAGGGGCGGACAUUUCAUGAAGAUGAACCCACCUAAGUUCACUGGCACCAAGGUGGAGGAAGAUCCACAGGAGUUCGUGGAUGAGAUGGAAAAGAUCUUUAAGGUAAUGCAUGUGGAUGAGGUUGAAGGAGUGGAACCGACAACUUAUCAGCUCAAGGAUGUUGCGAAUCAGUGGUAUGCCGACUGGAAGGAUGUAAAAGGUGAGAGUGCUGAGCCCACAGUUUGGGGCAAAUUUGUGGAAGAUUUUCUUAAUUGAUUCUUUCCUCUGGAGUUGAGGCAGGCCAAGGCGGAAGAGUUUAUGAAUCUGAAGCAGGGCAGUAUGAGUGUCCAGGAGUACACUUUGAAAUUAAAUAGACUAGCCCACUAUACACCAGAGUUGAAAAGUAAUAUGAGAGCCCGGAUGAGGAAAUUUACAUCCGGCCUUGCUGAUAACCUGGUACUUAAGUGCCAGGGCGCUAUGUUGAAUAAGAAGUUAGACUUUGCUCGGCUGAUCGUUCAUAUGCAGCAGAUAGAAGAGAAAAAAAAGAAAAUUUCAGAAACAAGAGAGAAAGACAGGUAAGCAAAGAGAUCUAGAACCGCAGAUCAGAAUCACAGCCAGCCACAAAGCGGCAACUGGGGAAAUAGAUGGCAAAAGAAGAAGUCAUGGAGUAAUGCACAGUCUGCUGCCAGCGCCUGGACCACCAGUAGACAGACAAUCUCAAAGUUUCUAGACUCAUCAUGGAUUGAGAGCCCCAGAUACUCAGCCGCAGGAAAGUGUGGCCCAACAGCGUCGUACUUAUCCAAGGUGUGAGAUUUAUGGAAGGAAUCACCCAGGGAAGUGUUUUUUUAGGGGAAAAAUUGUUAUACUUGUGGCAAGGUGGGACAUCUUCAGAGAUAUUGCCCUUCUGCUGGAGUAAAUACAAGGGGGACUAGGCCCCAAGCUGCCCCCACAGCUCUUCCUCCUAAAAGUGCCCCUUCAGCUACCGGGAGCGGUUGCAACCGGUUAUAUUCUUUGACUAACCGCCAGGAGGCGGAAGCUUCACUAGAUGUUGUCACCGGUACGUUACAAAUUUUUUCUCGUGAUGUUUAUGUAUUGCUUGAUCCCGGGUCUACUUUAUCUUAUGUGACCUCCUAUGUGGCUGUUGGUUUUGGGUUUGAGCCCGAAGUCAUUGAAGAACCCUUCACUGUUUCCACUCCUGUAGGUAAUUCUAUUGUUGCUAGAAGGGUUUAUAGAAAUUGUGUUGUGUCUAUUCUUAGGAGGGAUAUUGUGGCCGACCUUAUAGAACUUGAUAUGGUAGAUUUUGAUGACUUGAUCCAUUCGUGUUAUGCCACACUUGAUUGCAGAACCCAAAAUAUCACUUUUUUUUUCCCGAAUGAGACACCAAUUGUAUGGGUAGGGAGUUCUGUGGAACCUAGAGGUCACUUUAUUUCUUAUCUUAAAGCCCGAAAGCUUAUCUCCAAAGGCUGUAUGUACCAUCUAAUCCGAGUAAAAGAUUCAAGAGUUGAAAAUCUUUCUUUUCAGUCAGUCCCUAUAGUGAAUGAGUUUCCAGAAGUCUUUCCUAAAGAUCUCCCAGGGAUACCACCUGAUAGGGAAAUAGAUUUUGGCAUUGAUAUGUUGCCAAACACUCGUCCUAUUUCUAUUCUGCCAUAUAGAAUGGCUCCCGCGGAACUGAAAGAGUUAAUAGAGCAGCUAGCAGACCUUCUAGAUAAGGGUUUUAUUCGCCCCAGUGUGUCCCUUUGGGGUGCACCUAUACUUUUCAUGCGAAAGAAAGACGGUUCCCUUCGUAUGUGCAUAGACUAUCGUCAGCUGAAUAAGGUCACGAUUAAAAACAAGUAUCCUCUUCCUAGGAUUGAUGAUAUUUUUGACCAGCUUCAGGGUACUAAGUGUUUUUUGAAAAUAAAUCUUCAUUCGGGCUAUCAUCAAUUGAAAUUUAGGGAGUCAGACAUUCCCAAGACAGCCUUUCGAACCCGAUAUGGUCUCUACGAAUUUUUAGUCAUGUCCUUCAGGUUGACUAACGCCCCUGCAGCCUUCAUGGAUCUUAUGAAUAGAGUAUUCCGACAGUUUCUUGACUUGUUAUCUCAAAAAUCUCAUGGGCUUUAAAAAUUCAUGUUUUAAAAAUGAGGGUUUUGAAACUACGAAUAUAAUUAUGUUUUGAACGUUUCUAUAAUAUUGAAUUUGGUCUUUAGGCCUAUUUCUGAAUUAUUUGACAUAUUAUAUAUGUAUAUGCAUGUGUUUCGAAAAGGUGAUAUUUUGAGAGCAUGAAUUAUAUGAAAUCCCUCUCUUGAUGUGAAUUUGUUUUGAAUGUGUAUAUGAUGUAAAUUGUUUGAAAACAUCUUGAAAAGCAUGACAUGAAAGUUUUGAGAAUUGAUAUGAUUUUUUACUUGAAAUAAGAAGGCUAAUUGUGUUGAAAACAUGUUGAAUACAAUGGUUGAAUGAGAAGAAUGAUGUGAUAUUGAUGGCUUGCAAGUCGGGUAUGACGAUACCAGAUACCCUACAGAGUAUGACAUGUAAUUGAUUUGAACAAAGUUUGAGUGCAUUAAUUUUCAUGAGAAAUGUGGAUAUCCGAAGAAGGCGUUUGAGUGAAGGGCUCAUCGCUGGAAACCGCAGUUGCCGAUGCAGAUCAUAUGAUAUUGUAUCCUACAUUGGAGGAUAAUAAAAUAAUUGGGACAUCUCACAUGGGGGGAUUCCCUGCGGUGUACUCACAUGGGGGGUAUACCGGCUCCAAAUCCUAGCGGCUACUUGGAUUGGAGCCUUGGCCGCCGAGCACCAGAGGCAGAUUCCACAUAGCCGUGGAAUUACAAUUGUAGGGUAUUCCACCUAGCUCAAUUGCAUUACAUUGGUAUUGAAAACUAUUACAUUAUGCCCAUGUGUUUUCAAAUAAUUUGAUAUGAAACUACUUUAUAAUGUCUCUCACCUAUAUUGUGUAAAAAUAUUAUAUUUUUGUUUUGAUUUCUCUGCGUACCAGUUCUUUUGUAUUGACCCCCUCUCCUCCUAGAUUCAGAAGCACAGUCUAGGGGUCCAGACAACUAGUAGAUUCCUUCCAACAGAUCGCAGAAUCAAGUGGUGAGCCUUCUAUAUUUUGAAAGGCCUGAUGUCUACAUUUUAAUUUAUCAUUUAUUAGUUUUGGGUCUACUGGGGGCCUUGUCCCAGUUUUUAGAUUGACAAUUAUUUUAGUCAUGUAGUAGAGAUUUCGCAGACGUUAUAGUGAUGUUGUGUUGAUAUUGUGGGACAUUAUUCCCCAUUAUUACUUUUGCAUGAUUCUUGACCAUGUUUCCAUUAUAUUGUGUACCUUCCGCAUUUCUUUUAUCAUAUGAAUUGUGUGCAUGAUUACCAGACAACUAGAGGUGCUUCGGGCCUCAUGGUUCGGAAUACUUGUCACGGCCAGGGCCCCGAUUCGGGUCGUGACCUAUAUGUAUAAUUGUGUAAAUUUUGGAGUGGAUCCUUCUGGGGUAAUAAACUUCCAAUCUGAUGAUAGUUUUGUCCAGAUAGUGUAAAUAUUUUUGGUCCCCUUAUUUGAUUAAUUGAAAUAUUAACUUUUUCUCCCAUUGAUGUAAAUGAAAACAUGGAGUUAUAAGUUCUAAUAUUAUCUUUGAACUGGUUACUCUUUGGACCUGAAUAAAUAACAAUUCGUGAAUGAAGAUGUGUACUUGAUUAUAAUUAUUAUUCAAGUAUGGCAAAAAUAUUUAGUCACUUGAUCCAAAUAAUAAUUGUCUUAAAAUUGGAGGAGGUUCUUUUGGCUUUGGUAAAUUUAAUUUACCAUGAUGACAACAUAAAGAGAACUCUGAUCUUUUAGAUUUUAACUUCUUGUUGAUCCUUUCUUCAUACCAGAAGUAACCACCACAAUGUACACAUUCAAAAAUUAGAUCUCCUAUAGCCCAGUAAUCUAUAAAUCAAAUAGUCAAAUAUAAAAUUGUUUUGAACUGUCAUAUUUUCAUGACUAUCUAUUACAUAUAAAAGAUCAUAACAGAUUUUCAUACCUUCAUUGUCAAUCAAUGCAUUUUCUACAUCAACCUCUAUAAAAUGAAUAUAAGAAUCAUAUUAAUGACACUAAAGACAUAUAAAAAGUAUGCUUAUGAAAUUGUUCUAAUUUGUGUUAUUAUAGACAUACCUUCAUAAACAUCUACAUUUUCAUCCAUAUCAUUAUUUUCUGCACUUGUAAUAAAGUAUCAUAAGUGGUGAAUUCAACAAAUUCACCUUUACUUAUUUAAACUAAAAUAAAAUCAAUUGAAAUUGAAUAUUUUUAUGUCUUAAAUUAUUUAUUAAGUAAAAAAGAUAUACCUGGUACAUCAUCGUUAAUAUUGUCAGAGUCAACUUCUACUCAUACAUAAAUAAAAAAUGCACAUCAAUAUUUUUUAGUGAAUAAUGAUGUAUAUAUGGUUAAUUUAAAUACCAACCUUGUAAUAAUGGUAAUUCAUUUAAAUCUGGUAAAAGAUGAGUUCUCUCCAUUGUUGAAGAAGAUGCCACAUUUUGCAUAUCAAUAUCUUGUGUUAGAUUAUGAUAUUUUGAUUUAGCAUGAGAUGAUGAAGAAUGAUAAAUACUCUUUAUGGAUGUAAUAUGAGAAGCAUAAGAACUUUGACAAUUUGUGAAAUUUUUCUUAGUUUGCUUUCCUUUCUUUUUUCUUAAAUCAUUCCCAUUGAUAGGGGCAGAUUUAAAAAAAUCUGUAAAACAUUAACAAAAAAAUAUCUUGAUCAAAGUUAUAAAUAUGUAAAAUAAUUAUAUAAUGAACAACAACUAUUGUUUAGAAACGACAUAUCUAUAAUGUAAUUAUGUUUAUGAAUGAUAUAAUUAUAACGAAUAAGAUUUGUGAAAAAAUAAAUUGAUAAAAAGAUCAUACCACUGUUAUUAGAGGAUGUUUUAAGUCGUUUCUGAAUCCGUAUGCUUAUUCUAUUCUUUCUUGCAAGUUUCUUCUCUUUGUCCAUAUCAAUCUAAAUGGAAUCUGAAUAUGGUAUGAAAAAUUACAGAGAAAAUUUAAAAUAAUAUAGUAGUUACUAAAUAAAUAUAACAAUAAUAUGGCAAAUGACAGAUGACACUUGGGUUAAUAAGGAGAAAGUAUAUUUUUUACUAAUUAGGAGUUGGUAAAUUGUUAAAGAAAGAGAUGAUCAAUGGAUAUGUACUACUGCAAAUAUGCCACUUAGAAAUGCAAAUAUUGAAAGUUCAAUUUUAAAAGUUUAAUAUAAAACUGCACUAUUUCUGUUGUAAUGUAACUGUUUUUUUUUUCAAAACUGUUAUUUCACCACUGUACAUUUAAGUAAUUUAUUUGUUUGCUUUUAUACAAGAUAUACCUAAGUGUUCUUAUUUGUACUAUAUGUGAUCGGUUGAUACUUAUGGUGAGUAAUUUUUUAAGUUUAAUUUUGGACCAAAAAAUUUUAAUUAUGAAAUGAUACAAAAAAUUUUAAGGUUGUUGAAAGUUUUAAAAUAUAGCGAUAUAUAUAGGAAUAUUUGUACAGAUGGGUUGUCAUGCCAUGUUUUUUUUCUGCUGCAUAUUUAUCUGACAGUAUUUGAUUGCUUUUGCACUAAAUAUUUUGAAGUGCUCUUUAACAACUGCAACAGUUGUAUAGGGAAGACAAUGAGGAGUGUAUGGAUGCAAUUGUCUUUAACAAAAGUAGCAAUUGCUUUUGAAAUUUAUGUAUCUUUAGUUUAUAAAUGUUGGAAGAUAGUGAGGAGCAACAUGGCUUUAAAAUUGUCCAGAUAUGUUUCUAGAAUCUCUUCUAGGUUAUAUGUCUGCCUUAACUGGAGCGUACAUUCAAGAUAUUUGUCUGUAUCAUGGAUUCUUAUAAAAUAUUAACAGUUGCGUGCUCAAAUCGUAGAAGUAGUAUAAUUUUUGAGAAUCUGAAAAGGGUUGUGACAUAGAAAUUGAAGAGUCUGCGCCACUUAGAUCUUUAGUAAUGUGGGGUUUAUUUUGGGCUGAUAUUAGUAAGGCUGAAACCUCAUAUUGAUUUUGUCAAUAAGUAUGAGUAUGUCUUUAUCCCGAGUUAGCAUUAUGUAGUGUUCUCUCCCCUCUCUCUUGUUUGCUUUUAGAUAUUACAAUAACUCAAUAUUAAACAUUUGCAAGUAACAAAGUAACUAUAUGCAAGAGUUUAGAUAUUUCAAUUGCCCUGUACGGCUAUUAGAUGAUGACUAUUGGGAGUUGGUGUUCUUUGUUCUUGUUCAGUUUAAUUUGAUUGUACACUGAUCACUUAAACUCAUAUGCACUUCCAAUGGAUACCACAUAAGAUUCAUAAUUCUGUAAGAACAAAACUCAUUUUUGUUAAAUUGUGCAUUAUAAUGGAUAGAGCUUUGGAUAUCCUUCUAAGAGCUUAACGUUCCCUACCUUCAGGUUUGCUGUAAGGAAAGUGGUCCUUCAUUAGUGAACAGCAGAGCAGCGUAUGAAGUCAAAUACAGUGAUCCUGAAAAAGGUGAGGGUUCAUAAAUUUUUUAUUGUGUACUAUGGAAAGUCAUUAUACUUAGAGAAAUCUUUUGAAACAUCAGCUAAUUACUCCAUAUAUUUUUAUUUUGUAAAUGUCUGGAAGACAGUGAGGAGCAACAUGGCUUUAAAAUUAUCCAUAUAUGUUGCUGGAAUCUAUUCUAGGUUUUUUGUCUGCCUAAACUUCACCGUAGUGUACAUUUAAGAUUUUUGGCUAUAUUGUGGACUCUUCAAAAAUAUUAACAGGUGCGUGUUUGAAUCUCAAAAGUAGUAUAUUUUUUUGAAAAUCUGAAAAGGAUUGUGACAUCAAAAUUGAAGAGUACAUCAGACUUAGAUCUUUAUUAUUGUACCUGCGUUUCCUGUCUUUAUUAUUUUAUUUUAUCUUAUUAUCUAGAUCGUGAUGAACCUUAUUUCUUUUGGUUAACCUAUGUUAUGUACAUUAGAACAUAACUCUUGUUUUGCAGCUUUCUUGGGUGGCUGAAAGAAGUUAACAUGUCACUGUCUUGGAAGAUCUAUUCCUCUUUGCAUACAUCUUCAAAGAAGUUAACAUGUCACUGUCUUUGGUGGAUUCCUAUAGAAUUCAAAAGAAAAUAAUUUAAAAUAUAGAUGUUAGAUAAACAAUAUAUUAUUCAAAUCCUUAAAAAACAUUUAGUGACCAUAUAUAAAUAAAGAUAUUUAGAUAUGUUGUCUGUAUUAUAUAUUUAGGUAAUAUAAAGUCAUACAAUUUAAUUACCUUGUAAUCCUUCUCAGUAUAUGAUUCUUCAUAAUUGGUAAAGUGAUGGUCCUAUAACCACAAUUUAGAAAAGUAUAAGUAUAAAAAUAUAUGAAAUGAUUAGAUGUGUUUGAAGAAAGGUUACUUACACGGGAGGUAUCAGAUUCAUUAGGAGAAUAUUUCUUGAUCAAAUCUUCAUCAUCUAGAAUUUUAACAACACUGUACACCUCAUCAUGGUUCUGAAUGUUUUCGUUCUUGACAAUUACCUUAAAAAUGAAUUUUCUCUAAAGAAUAUUAUUCAGUUCCAUUGGAUAAGAAGGGUCAUCAUCAUUGCCAGUAUUCUAGGAAUAAUAUAUGUAUUAGUAAUAAAUUUAAUAGCUAACAUAAAUGAUGAAAUCUAUGUAUUAUAUAUACCUGAAGUAAUUCCUCCUUCAAGUCAUUUGCAGACUUGCCAAUUAGAGACAUGGCAUCAGUAUCCCAAAUCAUAAGUGAUAUAGAGCCAGUACUAUCCAUGAUUGCAACUUGAAUUCUAUACCUAAAUAGCUGUAUGUUUCUAUUUAAAUAUGAAAGUUUGUUAUAAAGUAUUAGUAAUUAGUGAAAAAGUUUUUAUAUUAACCUGUAGAUCACAGUGGAAUCUUCAUGAUUACAUUUUUUGUUUGUGCAAACGUAAGUGUUUUUCAUUUUUUUGUUUUUUUUCGACACUUAAUGCAUCCAGUAUAAGACCACCCAUUAGCUAGGUUUAACAAUUCAGUAGUAGCAACAAUGCAACAGUGAGAACCUUUCUGUUUAAUGAUUGAAAAGAAUAUGUCAGUGUAGGAUUAUACAAUGAUAUAGAUAUAUUUUUAAAAAAGUAGUCCUGGUAGGACUAUGAACAUGCAACAGUUUUUGUUGUUGCAUUUGUAACUAAAUUUGGGCAACAAAAAUAGAAAGGUAAUUUGUUAAGAAAAAGAGAAUGAUAAAAAAAUUGAAAAGUUUAAACAUGGAUGAAUGAAUAAUGGUUAAAAAAAAACAGAAUAUAUUGUGAUAAUAAUAUAUAACAUAAUAAAAAAGAAAAAAACUUAAAAACAGUGUUAUAAAAAUAUUAUACUCACUUCCCUAAUCUCUAACAACUUAGAAAUUGUCUUGACUUGUAAAGUGCCAUUAGAUAAAUCAUCCAGCACAGAGUUACUUUGCUGUGAAAUAGUAUGAGUUAUUCUGUCAAAGUUUCUAUCACGAAUAGAAAGUAGUCUGCAUACAUAAAAGAAAGAAAAUGUAAUACAUUAUAGGAAUAUAUUACUUUGUCUUUUGAAAAUAUAUAUAUAUAGAUGUAGAAGACGUAAAAGGAAAAUUAACCGUUGUUUAAACUCUUCAGACUGAUCAUCAGUUGGAUUAAUCCACAACUUUGAGGCAUUCCAGCAUUGCUCACGAUAUAGGAAUCUGUCGCAUAAAACAUGUAAGCGACACUGAUAUUUUUUUAUAAAAUCAAUUUCAAUACAAAUUUUACCUUGAAAUUUAUGUGCCUGAAUGAGUUGUAGAACAACAACAACAGGUUGGUUAUCAGAACGUAGAAUAGAAAGAAACAAACCACGUUCUUUGAUAUCAGAUUUGAAUUGUUUAAGAACAAAACUAUACAUAGAUGCUUGUAUCCGAUCACCCUAUUAAAAAAAAGUUAGAAUAAUGAAUCAGACAAAGAGUAAGACAGAAAUAGCAAUAUAAAUAUAGUAUAAAAUGUUGCAUACAUGUUCAUCCUGCAGAAUCAUUUCAAUUGCGUACAAAGCACCAGGAUUAAAUCGAUCUUUCACUUCCCACAGGCGAACAACCAAGACUUUUAACUUCCAGUGCAUUUUUGUGAUUGUGAUGUCGUUGAUGAAAUCUGUCAUUUUUGAUAAAGAGUAUGUAGGUAUACGUAGAUGUGGUAAAGAUUAAUAGAAUAGAAGAAGAUUGUGGUAAAGACCAACAGAAUAGAAGAAGUUUAAGAAGGAAACAAUGUUUACACGAGUGUGUAAAGGAAUCUGUGGAAUAUAUUAGAAUAUUGUAGGGAAUUUAAGAGUUGAAGAGAAUAUAUGUCGAAUUUGAAUUGUAUUUACAGAAGAAGGAAAUGAAUCUUAAGGGAAGUUUACAUAGUAGGAUAAGAAGGAUUGGUUGAGUAUUAUGUAGAAUGUAGAUAGAUGUGUACUGGAUAAAUACGAUGGUGAUAACAGAGUAGUUAUUGAAUGGUGAUAACUCUAUAAUUGUACAAAAGAUUUUACAAUUAUCUGUUAAGUUGUUGUAGUCAUUAAUUGAAAGUUAUGAACUUCUGCCACGAAAUUCAUUUUUUUAGCGUGUUUUAUUUAAGAAGUUAUAAUACUGAUUUUUUAAAUUUUAAUUUUUAAUUUUUAAUUAAGAUUUAAUAUUUGAAGGGCAGUAUGUAUUAAGAUUUAAUAUUAGAAGGACAAUAUGUACUUAUAAUAUGAAUUUUUUAAUUCAACUAAUUAACUCGUUUAUAUGUUCUAAUUAGUUAAAAGUAUAAUUUUUGGAUAAAAAUUUUAAGACAUAAUAUAAUGAUAAUUACUAACAUAUGAAUUUGUUUAUAAUUCUAUGCAGAUGGAUAUUGUAUAUAUGAUGACACAUGGUUCUAUGAGGAGGUUGCAUAAGAAUGAGAAUGUGUUUGAAGUGAUGCCAAUAUAUACUGAAUGUAUAAGCAGUUUAUGUGAUGUAAUUUGAUUUUAUUUGAGUUUUUAAUUAGUGAAUGUGAAUUUCAAGUCAGAGAUUUGUAAUAAACUGUGUAUGUUUGCACUUGUAAGUUUUUAUUGAUAAUAGUGUAGUUAUGAUCAUGAAAAAAAAAAUAGUGCAGUUACAUAAUCCAAAUUCAACAUAAAUUUUGUUAAAUAAAAAAAAUAGUAUAGGAGGUUUGCAUUUUUAAAGUGUAGUAUAUUAAUGUGUAAAGGGGUAACAAUUAUAACCAACUAACAUACAAACUUUCAAACUAAAAAUAUAAAAAUAUGAAGUAACUGAAAAUUUAAAUUUUAAAUUUAAAGAACAACUUCAAAAUUGUAAACUAACGGAAACAUUGCAAACAACAGCAACUAUUUCCUAACUAAUUAACUAUAGAUUACAUGUGUCAAUAUUUAAUUCUGCCACUUGGCUAAAUGGAGAGGCUUUGUCCUCUCCUUUUAAUAAUAUUCAGAUAUAGAUUUUUAAAAAAAUUAUGAUAACCAAUAAAUUCCACUUUAGUUAUAUAUAAUUUCUCUUGAUAUUUCUAUGAAAAUGAAAUGAGGGCCACAAAAUGAUACCUUUGACGUUGUUAGUUUUAAACCUCUAACUAACUAAUCCUAAAUAGAGACCAAGAUAAUUCUAAUUAAAAAGACUAAAUUGUCAUUGCUUUUUUAUAAUAUUACAAUAAAUAUUCUUAUUAAGCAAAAGGAAUUAAUUCAAUGUUCAAUUUAUAAGGUUAAAUUUGGUAAUUCACUAUUGAGUAGUCCAUUCACUUAUGCAUGAUUGUUUCCUAUUUAAUUGACUUAUUAUUAAACAUUAAAUCACCAACAACUUCAACAAUUUAGUGAGAGAAAAUUUCUAUAAAGAAAAAAAGAAAAAACUUUUUCAAGAUUUGUAGUUUUGAAGCCAUGAAAGGAGAAAAAGAAGGAAAAAAUCACUUUACAUUUAGAGAAUUUGGACAAAGAUGUUGCAAGAUAGUGAAGAAGCAAAAGGCAAGAUUUUAUAUUUUCAAAAAAUGUGUUGUAAUGCUCGUCUGCUGACAGGAAUCGACUGACAUGUAGUUUUUCGAGAUCAGAUCAAUCAGAAUAUUAUGAACGUCUUAAAACUUAAUAACACAAGACGAUUCAUUGAAAUGGUCGAUGUUGUUGUAUUGUAUUGUACGAGUUCAACUAUAGAAAUCUGAAACCAACAACGCGCGGUGAUAUAUACUUUCUUUUGUUUUGUGAUUUUCUUUUUAGUCUAUAUCACUAAUGCAUGUCAAAGUUAGUACGUGUAGUACUGUACACGUGCAUGCAUGCAGUUCAAUUAUAUAUGAUAUCAAAGUUAUGUAUCAAUUAAACAUAUUGUUAAAUUACAACAUUCAAUUUUUUUUGGACCCCAAAGUUUCUUCUCUUAGUGAAUGAACAGUAACAGUGAAACAGAAACGCCAAAAGGCGUCAUCUCCGACAAACCGACACCGCCGGAACCGCCCGAUCCAAUGGUCAUUGCAGUGGUGGAGCCACAGCCAACGAAGGGUGGUCAGAUGAACAUCCUUCGUCGGAAUUUUUUUUGAUUAUAUUGGUUAAAUAUAGAUAUUUAUGGUUAUAUACAUGUUGCGUUGUUGCACACCCUUGACAAGCUAGAGAAGCAUAGUCUAGUGAUCAAGAGUGUGCAAUUCUGCAUCAACAACCUGGGUUCGAACCUCGGCAGGUGUAGCAUAGCAGUGCUUUAUUUUUUUUGUUUUUUAAACAGUUCUUUGCCCAAGAAAAAAUAUGAACACACUUAACCAAAAGUCUGGAUCCGCCACUUGGGUCAUUGAAACCCCCAAUGCGAACGACCAGCAAAGCUUCAAAGCAAACUGCUCGUACUAAUUGGCAACACUCAGUCAUAGUGAAAUUGGUGAACAAAAGGCUAACACUAGGGGUGGGCGUUCGGUCGGUUCGUUCUGAUUGAUUAAUAUCGGUUCAGUUUAUCGGUUUUCGGAUAGACAAAAAUGACAUGCAUAACCAAACCUAAAUAAAUUCGGUUUGGUUGGAUUUUUACAAAUUCGGUUCGGUUAUUUCGGUUUGAAAUAUUAAAGUAGUUAGCCUCUCUUUUUCAUAACUGAGCAUUUAAAAUUGAUGAAUGUUUUUAGAAAAAUUAUUUUUUUCAAACCUGUUUUUCAUUCCCAACUAUAAAUAAUUAUAAAUAACUCAACAUGGAUAAAACGAAAUGAAAUAAUCAUGAGCUUAACAUAAUACAUAACGUCAUUAAUCAUUACAUAUAAUAUAACCUUGCAUAAAUAGUCUACAAAACUCAAAACUCGUAAAAAUAGUCCAUGAAACAACAUACUUUCUGCAUAAAUAGUCCAUAAAACGGUCCAAAGUCACCAAAAUAGUCCAUAAAAUAUUUGAGUCAUUAAAACAAUCCAUAAACAGCCUGCGGCGUAUGCGAAUUUGUUGUUAAAUAUUAAUUGUGAAUGUGAAUUACUAAAUAUUAUAUAUAUAACAUAAUAUUAUAUUAUAUUAUAUAUAUAAUAUAAUAUUAUAUAUUAUAUAGAUAUAUAUUAUAUAUAAUAAAAUAUAUAUAUUAUUUAUUUAUUUAUAAAAUUUUGGUUUUUCAGUUUAAGCCGAUUUUUUUUUAAAACCGAAAAUCGAAAACCGAACCAAAAAACUGAAAUUCUGAAAUUACAAAUCGAAUCCGAUCCGAAAAACCGAAACCAAAAUUAAAUUUCAGUUUGGUUUUUCGGUUUUUUCGGUUUAAACCAAAAUAUGCCCACCCCUAGCUAACACACAACUAUUUGAAAAUCAAGCUAGCUGAUCUCUAGAAACCGACGGAACCACUUACAUUGAUCGAUCUGGGAUGAGACUUCUAUAUGGCCAAAUUCCACAACCCAGAAAAUGCAUUAAAGGCGCUCCAUGGCGGACCAUGAUUCAUUACCGACAACUUUCUAUUAGUGAGACAAUGGGAACCGAACUUCGUCCCAGAAGAAGCAACCCAAACUCACACAGCCAUCUGGUUGCGACUCCCACAACUACCAACGGAGUUCUACGACCAAAGUGUUUUGGACAGAAUAGGAUCGAAGAUUGGAACGUUGUUAAAAAUCGACUCCUGUACUUCAUCCACACUGAGAGGUCGAUAUGCAAGAAUCUGCAUCCAGGUUCCUCUUAGAAUCCCCCUAAAAAAGCAGAUUACCAUAUGCAACCACAACCAAAAGGUUAUCUACGAAGGGGAAGACCUCCUUUGCUCUAUUUGUGGGAGACUUGGACAUCCGGCAAAGCAUUGCAGCUACAACACCAACACCACAGCCAUAGAGACAGAGAAGCCAAGCACUAGCAAGGUUCAAGAGCAGAGAGAACAACAGGAAUGUCAUAUUGUUUCCUUCCCUAAAAGAAAAUAUGGACCAAAUUGAAGGGCAUCCAACAACACCAACAAGACCCACUGGUUGCUGAACAACACCAGGUAAAAGAGACGGAGAACGCCCCAGGUAAGUCUUCUCAACCUGCACAGCAUCCUUCUAAGGCCUAAAACGAAACUUCUUGCUCAGUAAAAACCACUAUUCCCACAAAGCUUUAUUCAACACCUGGGAAAAAUGGAAAAACUAUGAAGGCACCCCAGUCUUCUUUCACACCUGCAAAGGCUGUUGAAAACAACCUUUUUCCUAAAGUCAAUCCGACGCAACACACACAUGCACCAGUAGUUAAUAAUCCUAACUGCCCUAUACCAUCCAUUAAUUUAAAUAAAACAUCCUCCUCAACUAAUAAAAUCGAUGGCCCACCAAGGCCCCGCUUUUCACCAACAUUAACUCUUCUUCAAUGGAGGCUAUCAUCUUCUAGGACGAUAACUAAAGUCUCAAAUAGGGGUAAUCAUCAUGUAGAGUCGAUUGACAUGACCGAUACGGUCAUGUCCAUUAACUCAACAACCUCUUUUAGUUCUAACAAAAGCCCCAAUGAACCCAUUAACAUCCAAAGUCAGCUAAAGAAUUCGAGUAACAACAAUCGCUUCCCAACCACCACUGAAGGAACCCAUCGUAUUUGUCUCAGCACCUUACCAUCCCAAUAGAAUCCCAACUUCUUGGGCGAAAAUGGCGAUAAAGGAGAAAACCAUAUCAUAUUGUGUCAUAAUGAGGGACCAGCCCAUCGUACUAAUGAUCCAAGACCCAACUUGGAUGGCCUAAAUAAUCAAGGAGGGAGUGAAUCACAUAGUACAGGGACUGGGCUAUCAGGUAUGGAUACAAACAAUGUUGUAAGCCCAAAGACUAGGCACACUCAAUGUCAUGAACACACACGAGUUCAACUCCCUGAUGACUUACAUGUUCAAGCACCUACCUUACUACCCAGAGAGUCCUUAUCUUUCGAAUUUGGACACCUUGACGUUUGUACCUUGGACAUUACCAGGCUCCAAUGUCCCGACCAACCAAACCAACUUUCAGAACAGAGAAGGGACAGUCGUGGUAGGAGACCAAGAAGGAAUACAACAAACAGUGCUAGAAGAACUCCAGAGGUCCAAUGCAGAAAUGGAACAACUCUUAGAAACCUUAGGGGGACCAAAUAUGGAAUUCUUUAUGCUAGAAAAAACUCUUCAGAAAGAGUUCGUAGAGCCCUUCAGCACAGUUAUUAUAGUGUCCUAUCCGAAGAAAAUGACAACAUUCAGGAUGAUCUUGAGGAAUAUGACCAACCAAGACAAUGUAGCAGUCUCUCUAAGCCCAUAUUUAGACAAGGAACAACAAACCAAAAUGGACAAGGGGAAGAGACUAAUCCUGAACCACCCACCCCUUCCAUCUGAAACCAUGAAUUUCAUUAUCUGGAAUACCAGGGAAGAAAAUAACCCCACCUUUAAAUGGCAUUGUGCUGCUCUUGUUAAGGCGCAUAACCCCACUGUGGUUGUCCUUCUGGAAACUAAAAUGGUAGACCAUACCAAUCUCACUGAGAUGCUUGGUCAUGACUCUCACAUGGAGUCAAGUGCUGAUGGUAGAAAGGGAGAAAUUGUGAUUAUGUAGAAGGAGAAUGCUAUUAAUCUUCAAAACUUCUCGAUAUCCCCCCAGGGAAUCCACACCAUCAUCAAGGUACCCUCUAAUCCAACUCCUUGGGUUUUUUAGGCUAUUUAUGCUAGUCCCGACCCUAAUCUGAGAACCACCCGUUGGGAGGAAUUAUGCCACAUAUCCUUCAUCUACAAAGGGGAUUGGUUAAUGGGUGGGGAUUUCAAUGAGGUUCUUAGAGCUAAUGAAAAGCUGGGGGAGGGGAUCCUAUCAAUAAUGCUAGAGUUGGCAAAUUCUGGGAUUGUCUUAACAACUGUAACAUGGUGGACCUAGGCUUUAGGGGAUGCAAAUACACCUGGACUAAUAAAAGGUUCCGCAAUAAAGCAACUCUUAUUCAGGAAAGAUUAGAUAGGUGUGUUGCUAAUGACUCCUAGAUAAACCUUCACCCUGAUUGCUUGGUCACCUAUCUUCCCAGGACUAAGUCUGAUCAUUGUCCCCUGCUAUUUUCCUUAACUAAUAGGUCCCAAAGUACCCACUGUAAACCCUUUAGGUUUUAACCUAUGUGGUUUAACCAUGACUCUUUUAGGAACUUAGUUAAGUAGUGUUUUAGUCAAAAUACCAACCAAUAACAAGCUGUUAGCACCUUCCAGGACCAUGCUACUCAGUGGAACCCGUAGGUGUUUGGUAACUUCUUUACUAAGUUGAAAAUUGUUAGAGCUAGACUAGAUGAUGUUAGAAAAAUCCGAUGCUUACCAUACAAGCAUCUUCCUCCACAACAUUGAAAAUGAGCUUUUGCAUGAAUAUGACUCCCUCCUGAAGUGUGAGGAGAAUUUUUGGAAGACCAAAUCUAGAAUCACCUGGCUCACAAAGGGUGAUGCAAAUACCUCUUUCUUCCAUGCAUCGACCCUCAAUGGAAGAAGGAGGAACAGAAUUAAUGAGUUGGUUGAUGAGGUUUGUAAUACCUUCAAAGGUAAGGAUAUCAUUACAGCCCAUGUGAUGCAAUAUUUCACCAACUUCUACACAACCAGCCAUGUUAGUUCUCCCAACUUUUACUUUAUUCCUACUUAUACUUCUAAUAUCAUCUCUCAAGAUAUGCAAAUAGCCUUAGUUGCACCACUUAGAGAUUCUGAGAUCCUUCUUGCUAUUAACUCCUUCAAACCCAUGAAAGCUCCUGGUCCUGAUGGACUAUACCCUCUCUUCUACCAGAAGUUUUGGACUGACAUUGGCUUAAAAAAACUUGCCUUCUGUAAGGAGGUCUUCCAGAACAGCAGGAUGCCUCCUGAUCAUAAUAGUACUCUGGUAUGCCUGAUACCUAAAUGUAGAAAUGCUUCUAGUCUAAAAAACUUUAGACCCAUUAGACAAGCUUGUUCUCCAAAGCAUUAUUAGCCCCACUCAAGCCAGCUUCCUGGCCCAUAGGAGAGUUGUUGAUCAUGCAAUCAUCAUUCAAGAAUACAUAUCCUACUUUUAAAAAAUGAAGGGUAAAAAGGCUAGCAGAUCCUGAAAGUGGAUCUUGAAAAAGCCUUUGAUAAAUUAGAGUGGUCCUUCAUAAAGGACACCUUGCUAUUUUUUGGCAUUCCUAACAACAUGGUCAAACUCAUCCUAUCCUGCAUUACCGCUUCUUCCAUUGCAAUUCUAGUAAAUAGCAGAAGAACAAAAAUUUUCAAGCCCUCUAGGGGAUUAGGCAGGGAGACUCCCUCUCCCCUACCUGUUCAUCAUAUGCCUUGAAAGACUUUUAAGAGGCAUUGAAGCUGAGGUUAGAGCCAAUAACUUGACUCUUAUUUCCAUCUCUCCCAAGGGUCUUAAACAUUCACAUCUCUUUUUGCUGAUGAUCUCACUUUUCUAGCAAGGGUAGACACCACAAACUACCAAAUUAUUGCUAGGAUUCUGCAAACCUUCUCUCUUCUCUUAGGCCAAACAAUCAAUAAUAAAACAUCCAAGGCCAUCUACUCUGCUAACUGUAUGCCUCGGGCUGUAGAUCAGUGUACCCAAGCUCUGAACAUCUAGCCUAGCCAAAGUUGUGGCAAAUACCUGGGCUAUCUCAUUUUUUCUAGUAAACCAAAGAAUAGUGAUUUUUAGUUCAUCAUUGAUAAUAUGAAUGUUAGGCUGGAAGACCAAAUUCUUAAACAUGGUUGGCAGAUCUGUAUUAGCCAAAUCUACCCUUAGUGCAAUGCCCACCCGUAUCAUGAACUACAUUAGAAUACCUAGUAAAGUUAUUGAGCUCAUCAACAAAAUCCAAAGAGAUUUCAUUUAGGGCAGCAGUAGUGAGAAAAAGAAGCUUCAUCUUCUUAACUGGGAGGUCCUAACCACUAACAAAAGAAUUGGGGGGUUGGGACUUCACAGAACUGAGCUCAGGAAUAGAGCUAUGCAUGCUAGUUUAGCAUGGAGGCUGUUCCAGCAGCCAACUAGUCUUUGGGGGCAAACCACCCUGGCUAAGUACUAUAAACUUAAUAGAAAGACUCCCCCAAACCCCCUACCUCUAGAACUUGGAAGAAUAUUAAGAGGAGUUAGAAAGAUUGUUGUUUGGGUAUCAGAUAGAGAGUAGAUAAGGGAAAUAGGGUCAAUUUUUAUAAUGAUUCUUGGAUCCCUCACAUGCACAGCCUUAGAAGCCAGAUUCAAGGCCCCCUAAACAAGCAGGAUCUCAGUACCUAAGUCCUAAGUCAAGGAUGUCUUGACAAAUGGAUGCUGGAACUUUAGUGAUCUCUCUUUUGAAAUUCCAAAAUCCAUUUAGGACAUCAUUCUUAGUCACCAUAUAACCUUGGAUGAAAAUGCUGAAGACAAAGCCUUAUGGAACUACAGUUCCACUGGCAACUUCACCACUGCAACCAUGUAUUCUUGUCUAUACAAUCAAAAUGCCAACCCUGUCAUAGACAAAACUUCUCUAUGGUCUGGAAAGCUGAUGUCCCUAACAAGACCAAAAUUUUCCUUUGGUUACUCAUGCAUGGAAGGCUACCCACCAACAACUUUCUAAAUCACAUUGGUAUCAAUGUUCCCUCCAAUGCCACUUCUUCGCAUAUACCAGUGAGGAUAUUAACCAUAUUUUCUUUCAAUGUCCUAAUGCCAAGCAAUUUUGGGCUAGAUUGAUCCUCAAGAGUAGUUAUAAACCACCUCUCCCUGGUGAUAUCAUUGAUGACUCAAAUUGACACACUUGGUGGGAAAAAAUAUGCUCCAAGCCCUUUACCUCAUGGCUCACCUGGGGCUCUCUCUUCCCAUACUGCCUAAGAGGAAUUUGGCUGACCAGGAAUGACAAUCUAUUCAACAAGAAUCAUAACUCCAUUAAUAGUGAGAAUGUCAUUGCCAAUGCCACUGAAUACGUCCUUCUUGCUAAAUCCAAAUCCAACAUAACUAACACCCACCACAUCAUUACUCCUAAGUGGAAUCCCCCAGUAAAGAGCCAUAAAACUAAACACUGAUAGCUCGACUAAAGGGAACCCAUGCCCGGAAUAAAACCCAUAAUGGCUGAAAUUCAGGCUAUCAUUGGGGUCUUCGUCUAGCCAAAGAAUAUCACAUCAUAGAUUUUGAUAUUGAACUAGACUCAAUGGCAGCUCUUGAAAUGCUUCACAAUGACCACACUUUGUAUCAUAAUCUUUUCAUUGAGUGCAGGACAUUGCUGACCGAGUUGGGAGCAACAACCCCAACACAGGUUUUUAGAGAGAAAAAUGCAGUGGCAGAUUGACUAGCUAAGGAAGGCACAGUCAUACAAUUCACAGAAAAGCCGAUCAUCACAUUUAUGCCACCUUCUUUUGUAUUAAGUUAUGUUUUAGAUGAUAGCUCUGGCAAAACAUUUAGCCGUUAAAUCAAACAUUGUAUUUUGGGUCACAAUGUGAUCAAUGCAAACUCUGCUUCGUACCCACAGGGCCGGGAUGUGGCUGGCCUUGACUAACAAUAUUUUGACUCUUUCUUCUGAAAGGAGUGCCAACCCACCCUCACCCCAUUAACAUGCUAUAAAACUAAUCCCUUCUUGACCAAGAAAAAAAUUACAACAUUCAUAAUUUUUUUGAUCUUGUAGAAGCAUUUCGAAUUCGUAAAUUAGAAUUUGGAGCCCGGACAAAUUUAGAUUCACGUUGGAAGUACUAUUUAUAUUGAUGAGAAAACGCUCUCUAACCAAAAGACGACCUCAUAAGCAGGGACGGAUCUACAGUGUCGAUCAGGUGACCCGCUACUGUAGAUCCUGUAAAUAUAUUAAAAAAUAGAAGAAGUCAAUAAAAUUUUAUAGAUGAUAACUCAUACACAAAUUGAAGUUGACUUGAUGACAUAGAAGGGACCCUUGAAUUGCUUGUGGUUUUCUGUUAACAUGGGAUCUAUCCCUGAUGGAGGUUGUUUUGAAUUGCUUAUGAUUUUCCACUAACAUGGGACCGAUCUCUGAUGGGGGUUGUCUUUUUUAUUAUUAGUACAUAGUAGCUUAUUUUAUCGAAAACCCACUAGUUUAAAAUCCUAGAUCCGCCUUUGCUCAUUAGGACUUGAUCAGAAACCCUGAUCAUAAAUUACUACUCCCCCCGUCUCAAUUUAUGUAGCAUACUUUUUUUUUUCGUCCGUUCAAAAAAGAAUGUCAUAUUUUCUUAUUUGGUAAUUAUGUAAUAGCAUCAUCCCCAUUUUAUCCUUACUGAGUCCUACUUAAUAAGAAAAAAAAAAUUAAAAAGUAAACAUUAAAGUGACUUGAGGGACAAUUUUGUAAACUUCACAAAGUGACCAUUUAUUUCUUAAACUUCAUGUCCGGUCAAAAGACAACACAUAAAAUAGAACGGAGAGAGUACUAUAUAUAUACAACAUGCAUUUCAUGUGUUAGCUAGCUUGUACUAGGUCUACCUAUCAGUCGGAUUGGUUGGAUAAUUAUGCUUAAUGAUUCGGCUUAUUGGCUACUAGCUUUUAAAAUGUACAAAUCCGCUAGCCACCCUAUAAGAUAACGGUUGGUUCGGUAUCAGAUUAGCAAUUGACGGACGAUUGUCAGGCGGUGUAAGAAUAAAUCUAAGAGACAAUGAAAUAUCGAGCGAUUAUUAGUCGUUUUUCCUCUGUUUCUUCACUAACUAAAUUAUGUGUAUACUGUGAUUGAUCUAUUUAUCAAUCUUUUACGCUUCUUGAAUUUUGUUCGUAUAGUUAUUUAAUAGGCUAAAACAUAGAAUCGAACAAAAAAUUUCUUCUUAUUGACCUAAAAUGUAUGUUGAAACAUUUUUGAUUACUGGUCGGCAGAAAAAUCAAAACUUUAAUAUUAUUUCAAUUUUUAUGUUUUAUUUCAAACUUUGUGAAGGACACAUUGGGGUUUUUUUCAUUUUUGUUGCAGUCCUUCGUGUUGUCUAGAAUAAUUUAUGUUUUGAUCUAAGAAUAAAUUUCAGAUUUUGUUUACGAUUUAGAGAUUCUGACUGCACUUUACGGUUAGAUGUCCCAAGAAGUGGCUCGCCAUUUUCUAAGCUAAAAAGUGAAUAUAACAAUAAAUAGAGUUUUAUAUGUUGGAUUUACAAAAUAUACUUGAUAUAUCUCUAGAGGUAAAAGAGGGCAGUUCGGUACACUAAAGCUACCGCUAUACGCAGUGUUCAGGGAAAGGCCCUACCACAAGGGUGUAUCGUACGCAGUCUUACCUUGCAUUUCUGCCAGAGGUUGUUUCCAAGAUCGUGACCUCUUGGUCACAUGGCAACAGCUUUACCAGUUACUCCAAGGUUCCGCUUCAAUAUAACUAGAGGUAAUAAUAAUAUAAUUGUAAUAAUUCUUAAUGGGUUAACGAUUUACUCGGUAAGAAAAUUUUGUAAUCCACCCCCACACCAAUAAGCCAUUAAUUAUAGAAUUUUAAUUCAUUUUUUAACUUUUAAUUUGAUAACACAUUAUAUACCAAUAAGUCAAUAAAUUAAUUUUACGAUUGGGUUGACGAUUACGGUUCGAUUUUGAACGCCCUAGCUUGUACGCAAAUACAUAGAUGCAUGCAAUGAAAUACAUAGUCAAUUAUUGCUUAAAGCUAUGACCAUAUAUUAUUUAUGCAAAAUAUCCUCUCUUUUUUUUUUAAUUCUUAAUUUCAUGUACUGCAAUCAUUUUUUUUUUCUUUUUGCUUUUUUGAGUCAUUACAUAUCACGGGAGUGAUGAUUACCAUAAAAAGAUAAAAAGAUCUUUCUACACACAUGAAUAAUUGAUAUGAGAACAAGACGUUUAAUUAUUUAUUUAAUUAAUAUUCUUGACGUUUUGUUGAUUUGAAGUGCAUAGUAUUUGAUCUUUCUAAAGCUAAUCCAAAAAUAUGUUAUGCAAAACCCUAAUAAUGUAGAUAUAAGUAAUGCAAGAAUUAUAAUAUAGAAAUUAACAAUGUAGUGAUAUUUUUUUCUUGUUGGAUAUUCUCAAGGAAAAAGAAAAAAUAAAUUUAAGGAGAGUGAGGGUAUUUUUUUUUUUUUUGUCAAUUUUUAUUUUAUCAUGUGACUAAUGUCCCUACAAGUUUAUUCCACAUUUGAAUUAAACCAUAUAAAAUAAUCGAGUACAUAAAUAAAUUCUCGCAUAUCUAAUGCAAGUAUUACUUUAUGUGAAAGACAAAAGGAAAAAUCAUACAAGAUACAUAAUCGUGUGGAGUUUAAGUAUGAUGAUAAACCUCUUUUUAUACCAAUAAUUAAUCGAGUGCUUUUAACAAUACUAAAUAUAUUUUCACCUUAAUUUGUUGAAUUAACAAUACUAAAUAUAUUUUCACCUUAAUUUGUUGAACAAUAUAGAGUCGAUUGUUAGUUUAUAACAAAUAGAAUUAAUAAACGUCAAAGAUAAUCAAAAAGCUAAGAGCGAUCUUUCUUAUGAUUAAUUCAUUGCUAAAUUAAUCCCAUCAUUGUUUUUUUAAAUUCAUUCCAAACCAAAAAAGUGAUAAGGCUAAAGUAAUUAUGAAGGGCUUGAAUAUAACAAUUUCUAAUUAGUGACAAUAUGAUUAGACAGCAUGAUUAUUCCAUUUAAGUCAAAAGUUAAUUUCUUUUCAAAACUUAUUUCACAUGGAAAAAUCUUUAAUUUUCCUUCCCUCGUUCAAUUUUUUUUUUCGUUUUCUCCCCAAACAACAAAAAUAAUAAAAGUUGUUCUACUUUAAUUUUGUUCAUUAACUUUGAUGAUUCACUAAAAAAUGUUGCCUAUAUAAUAAUAAUAAUAAUAAAAAAAAUCUUAUUAUUAUUAUUAUUUGUCUACUCUAUAUAUAUAGGAUGACAAAUAUCUUAAUUGACAAAAUACUUUAUUAAAUUGAUACAAAUUGACUAGGGAGGUUCACCAAGACUCUUAUAAUCACAAUCACUAAGAAGGCAUUAGAUUAGAUAGACAUUUGACUUGAAUUAAUAAUCAAACUUUAAAUAGGAAAGCAAGUUUACUAUUAAUUAAUUAUUCAAAAACAAACUAUAAAGUAAGGCCCGGCAUAGAGAUCAUGAAGAGAAAUUAAAACAUAAACUGUUUAAUUAAUUGAUUACUCAACUAGAACAUAAUUAAGCUAGUACUCAAAAAAAGGUACAACAUACUAUUUAAACUAUUUUUUUAAAAAAUGAAAUAAAUAAAAAAAUCUUACUAUUAUGAAGAUUAGUUUGAUCAUUUUACAUUUCAAUCAAUGUAUUAUCAAUAUCCAUAUUAUUAUUUUACUUUUAUUUUGUAUAAAAUAAUAAAUAAAUUCUUAAAUAAGUUAUACAUAUAUUAUUUAUACGGACAAGAAAAAGAACUUCCAAAUUUGGAAUCAAGUGAUUAUAUUAUAUUCUUCAUAAAUGUUUUCUUUUCCAUUGAUAAAGGUUUGUGGUGUCACUAUACAAAACUUUAAUAAUUAGGUUAUGAAAAGAUGGAAAACAAAUAUACGAUUAAUCAGCAUAUGAUUUAUUAUAAGACAUAUAUUCUAAUUUAAAAAAUGUUCAAAUAAAAAAAAAAACAACGGUGUUUAAAGUAGUUUUAUCUCUAAAAUAAUUCAUCAUGAGGCUUUGUCUCCCCUUUUUAUGAUAUUUUAGUCUCAUCAAUUGUACUAUUGUCAUUCAUGCAUGUCUAUAUUCACCUUUUCUAUAUUUACCUAAUAUUCCAACUUUAUUUUAUAUCGUGACUGUAACACCCUGAAUCUGGUACCCGGACGCUACACGGUGCUUAUGACUCCGAAGGACCACAAGCUAACUCAUAACUGAUAUCUGUAACUGAGAACUGAAUAAUAUACUGUAAAUAUGCGGAAUGUAAGAUGUAAGGCCAUAAGGUUCAAAACGGAACUAAUACUGAAUAUAAAAUAAUAUCUGUAAUGGGGUAUCACAAUACCUAAAAACUGAAAUAAACUGCCUGAAAUUUGCUGUAGUCUAAAAGCCUCUAAACUAUCUGAAAACUGGAGUUGAUGGGACAUGUCCCCAACUGACUCCGAACUACUGAAAUAAUAAAGUAAUAAAAUAAUCAUGCUAUCCUCGAAUGAUGAGGACUCACUGUUGGUCUGGCUACUGAACGUCUGAUCUACUAAGGAUGCUCGGGAGCUCGUGCUUCUAAACCUAUGGUAUUUGCAAAUGCGUCAGUACGAUUGAAUGUACUGGUAUGCAAGUGAGGUAGGCUAAAUGCAACGGUUCACAUGCAUGAACAAUACUAACUGACUGAAUAACAUGAACGUGAGAAUACAUGCAUGAAUACGUAACUGUAAUCGAGAUCGUGAUAACGCUGACUCAUGAAUUCUGAUAACGUGGAUUUACUUAUAUCUGAGUACUAAUACUGGGAUACUGAAUGACUGAGUCUAUUAAGUACUGAGAAACUGAUGUCAUAUUACAGAUAAAUGAAUGACUGUUUUUGACAGUUCUGAUUAUGAAGAACUGGUCUGAUUGACUGUAUUUGACAGUCCUGAAACUGAAUACUGAUAGCAUGAGUUUCGUAUAAUUAAUAUACUAUUAACUGGGUGACUAUGUCUGACAGUCCUGAUUCUGAUGGAACUAGCUGAAUUUCGUACGGAGCUGAGCGACUGUGUCUGACAGUCCUGAAAUCUGUAGAACUGAACUGAGUUCUAAUACUGGGACUAGAUCUAAAAUUGAGACUGUGGGAGGUAAUCAUCUAACCGACAUGCCCCGAAACUGAACUGGUGGGGUCCAACCUGUAACCCCAGCUGAAAGGGUGUCAGUACCGUGCCAGGGGUAAAGACAAGCUAUGAGUAAACAUAUAUAGUCUUUUUAUAUAUUUUGCAAUACCUCUUGUUCAAUCGUUCUAUACAUCCAAAACAUUUAUGUUAGUAUCCUAUUUAACAUCUAUUAUGUACAUAUAUAAAAAGAUAAUUUAAAUAAUAUAUAAACAAUGUAGUUUGUUGAAAGGGGUUCAGAUAAUGAUUAUGAGUAUUUAAGACAGGAUCAAGAAAUGUUAACCACCAUUGGGUUAAGUUCAGAAAUGACCAUAAAAUGGGUUGAUCUUGAUAUUUUGUUCGUCAUAAAAAAAAAAAGUCUUAUAGAAAUAACCUUUCUAAGGGGUAGCCUUGAUUUUUUGGCCCCGCUUAUUAAAUUUGGCCAUAAGUCAGAUUUGUAUGAUAUUUCAAGACAAUGAAUCUGCUCAAUCGAUUAGAAGUAUUGCCUUAUAGUUAGAAGUUAGAACUUAUAUAAGCUGCCUAUAAUAUAGAAGUAGGGGUGCACAGACCAAACCGUAGAGUCAAACCAAACCGAAGAACCAAAUUAAACCGAGAAAAAAAAACCUACUUAUAGUUUGGUUUGGUUGGUUUAACAUUUGAAAAAAAAAACGACCAUUCUUGGUUUGGUUUGGUGUUAACCCAAAAAAAGUCAAACCGAACUCAAAUCAAAUAUAUAUAAAAGUAGGUGUGUGUGUAUAUGUGUAUAUAUAUAUAUAUAUAUAUAUUCAUAUUUGGGCCUUUAAGUUGUAGUAAUAUUUAUCCAUUAAUUGCUAAUAAAAUGAUCCAAAAUUCAAUAUAAACUUAAAACCUAAACUUUUCACUCUUCAUCUUAUUUUUAGUUUCAAGAGUAUUUUUCGCUCCUCAAUUUUUCAUAAUUGUGAUUUUUCAUUAGCACAUGAAUGAAAACAUACUUGAUCUAAACUUCAAUCACAAUAUAAUUGUAAAAAAUAAAGAUUAUAAAAAAAAUUGAGAAAAAUCAAAAGAAGCGACUAAAACCUAACCGAAAAAAUCGAUUUUAUGUUGGUUUGAUUUGGUUUAUAGUUUUAAUAAACCGACAUAAUUGGUAUGUUUUUUUUUUCAAUAGAAAACCAAACUAACCCGACCUAUGUACACCCCUAUAUAGAAGUUCUAACUUUUGAAUAGAAGGUAAACAUUUAUGACAUUUCAAGACAACAAAUCUGCACUAUUGACCAGAAGUUUUGCCUAAUAACCAAACGUUAGAACUAUAUAUGUUGCCUAUAAUGUUAGACGUUCUAACUUUCGCCAAUAAGGUAACCGAUUAUGGCAUUUCAAGACAACGAAUCUGUUUUAUUGACCAAAAGUUUUGCCUUAUAGGCAGAACUUAGAACUUAUAUACGUUGCCUAUAAGGUAGACGUUCCAACUUUAACCCAUAAAGUAACCGUUUAUGAUAUUUCAAGACAAUGAACCUGCACUAUUGAUCAAAAGUUUUGCUUUAUAGGCAGAAGUUAGAACUUAUAUAUGUUGCCUAUAAUGUUAGAUGUUCUCUCGCCCAUAAGGUACCGUUUAUGACAUUUCAAAACAAUAAACCUAUACUAUUGACCAAAAGUUUUGCCUUAUAGAUAGAAGUUAGAACUUAUAUAUGCUGCCUAUAAAUUAGACGUUCUAACUUUGUUCAUAAGGUAACCAUUUAUGAUAUUUCAAGACAAUGAAACUAUACUAUUGACCAGAAAUUUUGCCUCGUAGACAGAAGUUAGAACUUAUAUAUGUUGCUUAUAAUGUAGACAUUUUAACUUUGGUCCAUAAAAUAACCUGCAUUAUUGAGUAGAAGUUUUGUCUUAUAAGCAAAAGUCAAAGCUUAUUUAGCAACAACAACAGUAACAUACCCAGUAUAUCUCCACAUAGCGAGAUCUGUGGGGAGGAUAGAGUGUACGCAGAUCAUACCACUACCUCAAGUGAAGUAGAGAGGCUGUUUUUAAUAGACCCCGACUUAGAACCGAUAAUAGUAUAACAAACACAAAAGAUAGGUGUAAAAUAAACUAACACCACUAACAACAAGAUAAUACUACAACCACAAGAUAAUAAUAAGAACUAUCUAAUUGAAAUCAUAGACAUCACACAGCACCACAAACAAGAAACUACAGACACAGAAGAACGCUCCCUUGUUGUUACCGACGCACUCCCACUCCCUAACCCUCUAUCGUAAUCUACAUCCUCCACAUCUUUCUAUGAAGGAUCAUGUCCUCCGUAAGUUAUAACUGCUCCACACAUUUUGGUGGACCAUAAAAAUCCAAGACCGGACAUAAGGGGUCGUUUGAUUGAGAAAUAGUUAUUCCAAAACAAUUAAUUUCGAGAUUAGUUAUUCCAAAAUUACCUAAGUUAAGUUAUCUUCAUAUUGACUAAUAAUUCCAGCCAAACGUGUAAUAAUUCAUUUUAUCCCAAACUACUUAUCCCUUAUAUGUCUCAGCAAACGACCCCUUAAAAAGGGAAACAAAACCCAAUAAACCUUAAACCUCAAAAUCAUCAUCUUCCUUUAUCCUUAAAACCUAAUUCUACUCCUUCUCAAAGAAUUCAAAAAAUCAAGAAUCAAUGGAAUUUCAAAAGAGAAAGUUAGCAACUUUAUCAUCA